UUGAGUCCAUAAGGAAGUCGAGGAUCGGAAUAGAUGAAUCCAUAAGAUCUAGAGCUGCUAUCCAGCAGGAUAUAAAACUGUUUAACUUAUCCAUGAGGGAUAUGAAGGUUUGGUAAGUUCCGAACAAUCCGGCAAGAUGUAAAACUGUUUAACUUAUCCAUGAGGGGUAAGAGGCAAUUGGUACCACAUGCAUUAGUCGUGUCUAGGGAUGACAUGACAUAGAAUGAUUGGCAUUAGAUGUAUUAGGGUAAAUGCGCAUAUAUUUGAUAAAUGGUAUGUGACAUUAUCUGGUUGAAUUGUGUUAAACUUUAUUAAUUGAUAACUGUUUAGUACGACGUUUUGGCGUGAGUUAG
rnacentral:lncRNA from 1 species